rnacentral:snoRNA from 1 species
ACCCUCUAGAUUCCUUACCCCUCAGAUCUAAAUAUUGGACUGAGUGGCUAAAAAAGGAGGAAAAGUUAAACUGAAAUGGACUUGUCUUAGGUGACAUACAUGUUUGUUUCAAACAUAU